UACGUAGGGGGCUAGCGUUGUCCGGAAUCAUUGGGCGUAAAGCGCGUGUAGGCGGUCCGGUAAGUCCGCUGUGAAAGUCGGGGGCUCAACCCUCGGAUGCCGGUGGAUACUGUCGGGCUUGAGUACGGAAGAGGCGAGUGGAAUUCCUGGUGGUAGCGGUGAAAUGCGCAGAUAUCAAGGAGGAACACCAAUUGCGAAGGCAGCUCGCUGGGACGUUACUGACGCUGAGACGCGAAAGCGUGGGGAGCAAAC
rnacentral:rRNA from 1 species